UGCUGGCAGACUGCACUUUAUAAAUGGGUCUGUGAAUGCUAAGUGUGUUAAAAACAUCUUACUGGCCAAGCUGAUUGUAACAGUCAUGGAGAAAUUUUGUCAUUUGAAAUCCUUUAUCUUCCAGAACAAUUCUGCAAUAUGUUGCCAUGUCAAGAUGUUGAGUUCUUGUAAAAAAAAAUACUACAAGAGGCUCAGAUCAGAUGCCUGAGCUUGCCAGAUAAUGGACCUGAUCUCAACACUGGCAAGAACUGCUAACAUUAUGGACACAAAAAUUUUGAAAAAUAAACAGCAAGUUCCAGAUAGUAUUAGUAGAGUUUGGUAUCACAAUCUUUGUAUAGAAUAGUUGAAUAAAUUCAUCCACUCUAUGCCAGAGUGCUGCAAAGCUGUUAUUAAGGCUCAAGAUGUUCAUCGUAUAUUGGGAUCAUCUUCAAUGAAAAAUAUAACUGUUUGUUUUUUAGUCCUAUUUAUGGUGUGAAUGCUUUCCUUUUUUUUUUCCAUCUACAAUUGUGAAUGGCAAGUUCUUGUGACAGUGCUCAUUGACAAUAUUGGUGAGGCUGUAGUGUGAAAUAACACUUAAAUUUAAUGUAGCAUUAUAUGUAAUAAAUUGUAUUUUUUUGUUUAUUAUUGUUGGGUUUUCUUCUGUACUACAUAUGUUAUCAUUACAAAUCUCUAUCAUAGUCUUAAACAUACUGUUUUGCACAUCUGUCAAAUGGGUUUUAGUAUAAUGGUAACUAUUUAUAGAUAAUGCAAUUUCUAUGGCCACUACUGUAUGUAUAACUUUAAUAUUAAAAUUUGUAAAUAGGUUUUGGCUAUCUAAAAUUCAAAUUUCUGAAAUCUGAUGCAAUAAGGCAACUUUCCUAUAUUGAGUACUUUGAUUAAAACAAAAAAUUCUGCUAUAUUUCUUAAAUGAAGCAUGCAUUUAUACACUUGUCAACAUGAAAUUGCAAUGCCAUGAAUGAAAAGGUGAAGUGAUGAAACAUAGAGAAAUAGUAGAGGUAGUGAAAAUAUGGAAAUGAUAUCAAAAUUUAUUCAAUAUCUUGUAUUCAUUUUUUUUUAACUUGCAUAACAAGGAUGUGCACUGUGUACAGCAACAUGCACAACUAUAUACCUUAGCAUACUAGCAAGAGUUAUUGUUGGUUGUUUGAGGAAUGUUGUCAUGCUGCAUCCCCUUGGGCAUGUAAAACAUUAAAGUUGGCAGAUGGUAACUCUCUUUGCAAUUGCCAACUGAUGAUAUCCCACAUAUACUCUAUGGGUGACAAGUCUGGAGAUACAGCAUCGCCUAUUGUGUGUCCAGACUUGUCAUUUGCACAUGGCAGAUGUCAAGUCCAUGCAGACUAUUCGUGGUAACACAAGCAACAUGUAACCUGGCAUUUUCAUAUUGAAAAAUAGUAGACACUUUGCAGUAAUGGUCAUAACAUUGGCCAUAUGUUUUUGUUAUGAGGCCAAAUCAACAUAUUAUUUGCCUGUCAAUGUCUGCAAGAUGUGGGCAAAAGCUACCAAACACUGUAUCACCCCAGAUCAUAAUGCCAGAGGUGUUACUGCUGUGACAUUCCCUUAUGAAAGCAUAUUUAUGGUGUUGGAGACAUCUUCACAUAAUUAUGUGGUUUGUUAUAUCCAAGAUUCAUCACUAAACAAAGUAUUUCCAUUGCUAUCAUGAUCUGCAGCUAGGUCUCAUUAUGAUGAUGUGAACUUAAUGGAAUACUUGAAGCUGAACUUCUGGUUUGAAGACCAACAUCAUACAAAUGUCUCCUAAUAUUUUGCAGACAUCAUUGAACUUUCUGUAUGCAAGAACAAAAAUUUAAUCACUUGUAGCAAAGUGGUCAUUCACUGCCAUUGUCAUGACAUGAUGAUCAUCCAUACAGAAGUUGUUGCUUUGCUCAAUUUCUCAUUGUUAUUUGUUGGUGUCCUUGUAACCGUUGUUUUAUGUAAUGUUAAAUAGUGUUCCUGUUCCACCCACAUGCAUUAUGAUAGUUUGUAGGAACAAACCAAUGUCUGCAGUUCAAGGAUUGUGUUCUCACUAUCCAACAAUUAGCAAUAUCCCACACGUCCUUGUAAAUGAGAGAUUCUACCACACUACUUUCUUUACUCUCAUGUUUCAUGUGAUGAUGAUAAACUAUCUGCCAUGAAAAUGUUUAUACCUUUAAAACUUCUCUCAUGGAUCUGUGGUUGGAGCAAAAUAGUUUAUUUAUAAUUAACAGUAACAAAUUUUUAUUUUGUUUAAAAAUAGUAGCUGUUACUAAUGUUAUGCACUGGCUUUAAAAUCAUCAAUGGAUUGAUGGUUACCUCUGGCCAUAGUCUAGUUAAUUUGUUUUAUUUUUGACUCUUUUCAUCCUGUGGUCACUGAGAGGGCUUCUUUUUAAUCGUGUCCAUCAAGAGUUUGGCCAAGCCUACAGUGGCCAGAUGAUGAGGAUUGAGGCCUGAAUUCCCAGGUCAGAUCAUCCAUAAAAAUACUCAGAACAGUUUCUCCCAACUUGGCAGGGACUAAUGUACUAUCAAAUCUUUUUCUACAAUUUGCGGUUCUGAAUGUUCUCCAGUUGUUACUUAUACAGUAAUGAACAACAGUUGACUUACUUUGUAUUGACUGUUGUUUUCAUUUUAUAAUAACAAUCUGUUUUUUUAAUAACAGUUGAAAAAUAAAAGAUUGUUAAUUAAUAAUCCAUCAUUUGUUGGAGUUACAUAUGCAGAUCCAUUUGAUCAUUUACAUAUCUUAUUCAUACCUCCUAUUCUCCUGUUUGCAUCUUCUACAGCUCUUCUUUCGUGAUAUUGCAAUAUUACUGUUUAUGGGUGUAUAUAAAUAAAUCAGUCAAACUAUGAUUCUGCAUGUUAUUUCUAUAUGUUUGUAAUUGAUUAUUGAUUAGCAGAAAACUGUCUUAAUAAUUAAAAAGUUUUCAUUAAUUAAUACUACACUAAAAUAUAUACAGUUGAAACAUAUUAAUACUAAUGUAAUAUUAGAUACUAUUAAUAUUAAAUUAAUUUGCAGAAUGAAUGGAUAAUCUUUUCAUUUCAAAGCAAAUGAAACAUUUUCCAUAUUGUCACAAUAUCUUUAAUACCCAUGAAAAAUAUAUUAACAUCUCUGUUUAUAUUUGACAAACAUCAUACACUAUCCUCUACAUUGAAAAAAUUAAUUAUUACAAGACAGUAUUUUCAGCUAUUUUUAAAAUACCUUUGAGUACUUACUGUUUAUAACUAAUUUGCAUUCUACAGUUAUUUGGAUUUAAAUUUUAUUUCUUUUAUUUUAAUUAGGUAAAACUUAUAAUACAUUUUAUUAUUUCUAAUUAAUAAAACAAAAUUUUUAUUGUCAUAAAGAUUGUAAUUUAGAUAAAGUAUUUGUGUAUAGUUGAUUUUUGUUUGUUUUGAUGAUGAUUACAAAAUUCUUUAAUUUUACAGGUUACCAGACAACUGGGUUCCAGAGUCUCAGGCUUCGUCACUCUCCCAUCGUAUCAUUCCAAUCUCAUCUCUACCUCGGGAUGUUUUGGCCCAGCUUGACCCAACAUAUGCAUGUCGGCCUUCCUGCUCACCGAUGAAACGUAAACGCAAAUGACGUCCACAGAUUAUAGAGCUGCCAGUCCCCAAAAGUGCCACAUAGUUUGUGUUGUUCCACGCUUCCAUUGCACAUCAUCAGCUCUCCUAAUUUAAUUUACACCAUCAUUCUUGCAGUAAUUUAUUUCACGACAAAUUUAAGCCAUAAACCCUAUGCAACAUGGCUGAGUACAAAUACAUAUUCCUUGGCAUUUAAAUGGCUAAUUGUCAAUAAAAGGCAUGGUUGGUAAACUGCCAUAUAGAAUAUUUUAAUGAAAGAACAAGAAAUGUGGCAUGCCUAGUGCCUUUUCUUUUUCUCUUGUGAAAGGUUGGAGUCUAAAGUAGGCCAAAAUUUUAAAUCUGAUACCAUCUUUACAAAGUAUUUAUGAUCUCAAAUUGAUGGUAAACUGAUAAAUGCAGAAGGCAGACUGUUUAGACUGAUCAUUAAAUGCACUGUGUGGAUGAGGAAAUAUUAAUAAUUUGGGCUGUUCAAUUUGUUUGGUCGCCUUUAUAAAUGGAUAAUCAAUUACAAAGGCAAGCCUACAAUUCAUUGAAUAUAUUGAUAUACUACCUCUAGAUUACUGAAGUCUAUUCCAAGUGUCAUCUUGCCAUGAAUUAUUAAACUUCUCGUUUGUGAUUUUUCCCCCCUGUGAUAUUUGUAGUCAGCAGUCUGCCUCUUGCAUAAACAGUUUGGCAUUUUGGACUUCAUCUAAUUCACAGUUUAGUAUUUUAGGAUGCAAUGUACAAAUUGAUACAGUACUUGGUUUUUUUUAUCAUAUUUCUUUGUGAUGCACCAGUAAAUAGGGAACAGUAAAGCAAUUUUGACAUUUGUUAAUUUUUAUCUGAUCAUAAAUAAUCUCCAUUUCAGUUUGUACAUUGAUAUCUAGCUGCUCACUGCCAAUAUCAGAGAAAGUUUAACAAUUGCCAAGGACACUGCAGAUACAGCCAUGUUGUUUAAGGGAUGGUAACCUCUCAUGGUGUGCGUAUAUAAGUAUGAAUGGGCAUAUUAUGUAUAAAUGGAUUGUUAAUACUGUAGUAUUUUGCAUGAAUGAAAGCAACAACACUGCCAGUAUGUAUCACUGUAGCUUAAUAAAAAUAUAAUUUAGAGAUCUCAUGAUAGACACUGUGGCACUAUGACAUGGACAUACCAAGUGACACCCGAACUAAUGAACCAUACAAACAGAGGAGUUAAAAGCAAAUGGGUGUCUAAAUUUGGUGAAGUCAAAAGCCUCGAGAAAUAUUGAAAAGAAGAAUAUUGAUAGGUGGUGGUGAGAUCUCAGCAGUGAAGAAAAAAUUAGCUACAGUAUCCAAAGAGACACUGCCAUUAAUUUACACCACCCCUCAGGGAAGGUGUCCCAGAUAAUAGUUCUGGGUUUCAUUUUUGUGUAAUUUCCUUUUUACUGCAAUACUGUUAGAUAACCCUUGUUAAUAGCAUGUCCUCUUAUUUCCCUGUGUUGUGAUUGUAUCAAUGUUUACAGAAUUGCACAGAAUACAGGAUGGUCUUUUUAAAUCACCUACCACAGUUAAUUUCUUAAAAAAGAUAAAUGAUAAACAAAAUAGUAUGGAACACGUUGAAAAAUUUCAGUUAAUAACUUCAAAACAAUCUUCAAAAAUCUAAUUAUGUAAAUACUUCAAUAUAUAUGUUUAGUGAAUAUUGUGUUCCUUUGUAGAUUAUAUAAAUAACCAUUAGGAAUUCAUGUGAAAACUUUAAUAGGUAAUUUUUCUGUAUUUAUCAUAUUAUGAUUCCAUUUGAUUGCCAUGAGAUUAUAAUUAUUAUUAUUAUUAUUAUUAUUAUAAUUAUUAUUAUUAUUUUUUUUUUUUGCAUUUAUGAGGUGAUCUAAAUUGGCAGUCCUGACUGAACAUUUCUGACUUCCAGGUCAUGUAUCUGGUCAAUAAAAGACAAGAUUUUUCCAAUGGAGGUCACUAGUCAUGUUUUAAUUUUAGAAUUUGUUUUGACAUAUACUGAUUUUAAAAAUAUAAUUGGUAAUAGCAGCAAGAAUAUAUCAGGGAACUAGUAACAGACCAAAUAUCAUUUUAAUUUUUUUUUCUCUUUUCCUUGAUAAAAUGUUCUCACAUUAUCAGUAUUUUCCAUGUUGGAAAACAAAAUUUGAAAUGUGUAAAGACUUAUUUUAAUUGUGUGACUAUUAAUAAUUAUUGAUGGCUGCCUUUCAUGAAAAUUUAAAAUUAUAUUUAAAAAAAUGAAUAAAUUAUAAUAUUAGUAAUUCCAGUCAGGCAUAACUUAAAGAUAAAAAAAAUUGUAACCAAUAUAAUUGAAACUAAGAUAUUUUAUGUAAAAUUUUAUUUAUUAUUAUUUUUUAUCAAACUAUACAAAUGUCUUUUAUUUGCUAUUCUUCAAUUAGUUUGAUAUGAGGGACCAUAAAUUCCUCAUUCAUGAGGAUUAUGAUAUUAAAAAAAAGUACACUAAAUGUUGAACUGCCAAUGUCAAACUUGAAAAUGGACAGUAUUGUUUAAAAAAAUUCUCUAUUCGAAUAUCAUCAUAUUCUUCAGAAAGAUUGUGUUUUCACUACUUUAAAAUCACAGGAUUUGACUCAAAAAAUCUUUCACUAGCCAUUUCCUUUCAUCGUUGAUGCAAUUAGCACUUUUAGAACCAAAGUAUAAUGAAGUAAAGGUAUCUUUUUUUUUUUUUUUUUUUUUACUAAAAGAUACUAAUUCCAUUGGCUAGGUGUAUUCUGUCCAUGUUACUGCCUUUAUGCUCACAAUAGUGGGUUUGUUGCAACAUCUGAAUUUGUAUUACUCUGUUUGGCAUAUAUUCAUGUAAAUUUAAAAUGAAAAAAAAAAGAUUAAAAAAUUAAGUGUGGCAAGAAGUUUGAAAGAAAGUAAACAGCACAUGACAGUAUACUUUUAUGUAGAAAAUAUUAAAAAAAAAACUAAAUUGUAUUUUCAGUAAUUUUCAUUAAAUUAUGUAAAACUUAAAUGGACAAUUUCAAAAAAUAAAUAAAUAUUUCAUAUUUACUUAAACAAUAUAUUAUUCUAAGAAAGAAAGAAAAAUGUAUAUAAAUAUACCUGUUAAUCUGUAAAGUAGAAUAUACCAGAGAAAGGAUAGUCCAGGUGUGAAAAAUGUAUUGUGAGUUCCUGGACGAUGAUUGUAAAAAUAAAAAUGACUGCCUGUCAUGUGCUGAAGAAAUGGGAAUUUUGCUCUGCAAGGCUGCAGGGGUGGUGUACAAUAUUUGUACCUGACAGUCUCCUGUUAGACUGUUGGCCAUCUCCAGGUUCACCAGAUGAGGGACCUGCUAUUUUUUGAGUGUGUGUAAAUAUCUGGUCACUCUUUUUUUCCGUUUGUUCUUGUAAUAGUAAACUGAGAUGGUCAGAUGUUGGAGGUUUUUUUUAUGUUUUGUGAAAAAUAUUAAUUUUUUUCAUGUUGUAACCCACAUAAAAAAGUGUAGAGUGUCAACUUGCCAAAUUAAAAUUGUGGUUUGAGGACA